CCUACGGGAGGCAGCAGUGGGGAAUAUUGCGCAAUGGGCGAACGCCUGACGCAGCGACGCAGCGUGAGGGAUGAAGGUCUUCGGAUCGUAAAACUCUGUCAGCAGGGAAGAACGGUCACUGUGCUAAUCAGCAGUGAAUUGACGGUACCUGCAAAGGAAGCAACGGCUAACUCCGUGCCAGGAGCCGAGGUAAUAAGGAGGGUGCGAGCUUUAAUCUGCUUUACUGGGCGGAAAGCGCUCGUAGGCGGUAUGUCAAGUCAAGGGUGAAAUCCCCGCGCUCAACGUGGGAACUGCCGUUGAAACUGGCAAACUUGAGGGUGUGAGAGGAUAGUGGAAUUCCAGGUGUAGGAGUGAAAUCCGUAGAUAUCUGGAGGAACGUCAGUUGCGAAGGCGACUAUCUGGCACAUAACUGACGCUGAGGAGCGAAAGCGUGGGUAGCAAACAGGAUUAGAUACCCCUGUAGUC
rnacentral:rRNA from 1 species